rnacentral:rRNA from 1 species
AAAGGAUGUGGGGUUGCAUAAACAACCAGGAUGUUGGCUUAGAAGCAGCCACUCAUUAAAAGAGUGCGUAAUAGCUCACUGGUCGAGUGACCCUGCGCCGAAAAUUCAACGGGGCUAAACAAUGUACCGAAGCUUGGGAUUCUAAAGUAAUUUAGAGUGGUAGGAGAGCGUCGAAUAAGGGGUGAAGUCAGAGCGGAAGCGCUGGUGGACUUUAUUCGAGUGAGAAUGCCGGAAUGAGUAGCGAGAAUUAUGUGAGAAUCAUAAUGGCCGAAAAUCUAAGGUUUCCUGAGGAAGGUUCGUCCGCUCAGGGUAAGCCGGGGGCUAAGGCGAGGCGGAGACGCGUAGCCGAUGCACAUACGGUUGAAAUUCCGUAGCCACCGAAAGAUUUAAAUACAGGGACGCUUUAGAAGUGAUGUUGCCGGGCGAUGGUUGACCCGGUCGUAAGGGAUCGAAAAUGAGUAGAGAAGUCAUCAUGGAAAGAGACAAGAAAAGCUGUAUGGAUAUCUUAGGUGCCCGUACCGCAAACCGACACAGGUAGAUAGGAAGAAGAUUCUAAGGCCAACGGGAGAAGGGUUGUUAAGGAACUCGGCAAGUUGACCCCGUAACUUAGGGAUAAGGGGUGCUCAAGUGAUUGAGCCGCAGAGAAUAGGCCCAGGCGACUGUUUAGCAAAAACACAGGUCUCUGCUAAAUCGAAAGAUGACGUAUAGGGGCUGACACCUGCCCGGUGCCGGAAGGUUAAGAGGAGAUGUGAGAGCAUUGAAUUGAAGCCCCGGUAAACGGCGGCCGUAACUAUAACGGUCCUAAGGUAGCGAAAUUCCUUGUCAGGUAAGUUCUGACCCGCACGAAAGGUGUAACGAUCUGGGCACUGUCUCAACAACCCGCCCGGCGAAAUUGUAGUACCGGUGAAGAUGCCGGUUACCCGCGACUAGACGGAAAGACCCCAUGGAGCUUUACUGUAGCCUAAUAUUGGAUUUCGGUAUUUCACGUACAGGAUAGGUGGGAGACUGGGAAGCACAGGCGUCAGCUUGUGUGGAGUCGACCUUGGGAUACCACUCUUGGAGUGCUGGAAUUCUAACCUGCGGCUUUGAAGCAAGUCGGGGGACAUUGUUAGGUGGGCAGUUUGACUGGGGCGGUCGCCUCCUAAAGAGUAACGGAGGCGCUCAAAGGUUCGCUCUGCAUGGAUGGAAACCAUGCGUCAGAGUGUAAACGCAAAAGCGAGCCUAACUGCGAGAAUGACGGUUCGAGCAGUAACGAAAGUUGGAGUUAGUGAUCCGGCGGUAUGUGAAUGGAAAUGCCGUCGCUCAACGGAUAAAAGCUACCCUGGGGAUAACAGGCUGAUCUCCCCCAAGAGUCCACAUCGACGGGGAGGUUUGGCACCUCGAUGUCGGCUCAUCGCAUCCUGGGGCUGAAUUCGGUCCCAAGGGUUUGGCUGUUCGCCAAUUAAAGCGGUACGCGAGCUGGGUUCAGAACGUCGUGAGACAGUUCGGUCCCUAUCUGUCGUGGGCGUAGGAUAUUUGCAAGGAGCUGUCCCUAGUACGAGAGGACCGGGAUGGACGCACCUCUGGUGCACCAGUUGUCACGCCAGUGGCACAGCUGGGCAGCUAUGUGCGGAACGGAUAAACGCUGAAGGCAUCUAAGCGUGAAGCCGCCCUUAAGAUAAGAUAUCCCUUCUGUUUACAGAGUAAGACCCCUUGAAGACUACAAGGUUGAUAGGCUCAAAGUGUAAGCACGGUGACGUGUUUAGCUAGCGAGUACUAAUCGGUCGAGGGCUUAACCUU